UAGAAGAGAGAAAUGAUGUAAUUAUUAACUACAGAAAUUUAUACUAUUUAAGUAGUGUAAGGGCUAUGUACAAUAAUCAAGAAAUUAGGACUAUAAAGAUAAAUAUGAAUACAAUUCCUCAAGACUAUAUUGGCAGACAUCCAGGAUAAGCCUUUUUAAAUUAUUUUUAAAUAUUGAUGCCUAGUGGGAGACUCUAUACAACAGGUGACAAGGAGUUGUAUAGCUUUUUUGAAACUGUUCGAACGUUGUUUUGAGUUAAGGUUAGUUGAGUCAAUGUAGUGGAAGCAACAACAACAAGAAACUGCUGUAUUGAGCAUUAUGUGUAUGUCUAUCUCUAACUGUACCAAAUUCAGAAAGAUGUGUUUUUUUUAUGCAACAGUUUUUACCAUAGGAUAGCCUUGAAUAAAAAGACAGAUAUAUGAAGUCUGGCUGACUUUAAGGGAAGCCAUUCUGGAGACCUGGUAUAGUAGGUACAGGAUAGAAGCAAGUUUUUUCAAAAGCUGAUUGACAUGUGGCUUCCAAGUUAGUCUGGUAUCAAUACAUAUGCCAAUAAACCUCACAGGGCAUGCCUUUAUUUUUUUAAGGCAAAAAAGACAUAUUUAGUCUUUUCUAUGUUGAUACAUAAAUUAUUACCUGCAAAUGACAUUUGGAUCAUCAGUUAUUAAAGCCGCAGCUACUUGAA